CUAAAAAGUUAUCACAGAGGCGGUAGGGGAGAAAGAGUUUCCUGACUCGAGUUCUGAUUUUCGAGCAAUUAAAGCAAGUUAUCACAGAGGCAGGUGAGAGAAUUCUAAAACUCAUUUUGAGUUCUAAGAAAAUGCAAUAUCUCUUUCAAAUGCAAAAUUAGAGCAGCCUAAAAUUCCAAGGUAUAAUUCUCUGCUGGUAAUUUGAGUGAAUGAACAGAAAAGAUAGUUGAAAGUUGAAUUGAAAAACAUAUUGAACAGAUAAAGUUUCUGUUAAAACCCCAUUAAGUCGAUUGCUAAAAGAAUAAGUAACGCGAAACAUUUGGCUUCCCCAAGUGGCUAUCAUCAUCAAAUCAUAUUUUUUUCCGUAGUUCUUGAAUGAAUCAUUAAUAUAGAGAUAAGAUGAUGUAAUAUCUUGUAGAUUUUUAUUUUCAAAAAAUAAAAUGCAGUUUGAUAGUAUUAACAAACCUGGAAUUCUGCUGGAUGGAAGUGGUGCAAAUCCUGACCAAAGCUUACAUAUCUUUUGAUGGUGGAUGGUAUGUUCGUGAUUGAAAACUUGAAUAGGUAAUGCAUUGACUACACAAAUUUUUCCUGUCCUUAAUUGUUGUUAGCCUGAUUAAGAGCUGGUUACUAUUGAGAAUACUGGUUGAUAUCAAGAUGCUCUUCAUUAAUUUCCCUUUUCUCUUGACCAUGUAUGUCCAUGAUGUAUUUGUUUAUCUAUGUAUAUUUUAGCCGAAAAGAGGGAUAAUCCAUUGUCUGUACAACAAACAACACAUUUUAGUUCUUAUGGACAUAAUUGGGUAAAGUUGUCUUGUUGAAUAAUGCAUAUAUACCGAUGCUUGGUUUAUUCCAAUCCUUGAGCUAUUUUAGAUCGAGUUGCGAUAGUUAUGUGUAUUGAUAGUUGCAUAUUGUAUAGGAACUACCAAGUGUGAUGAAUGAGUGAGAAAGAGAGAAAGCCUAUUGACAGAACAAUACUGUAGGACAAUAUUUACAUCAAUUCAAGCCAUUUUGUCUUGUAAGUUAUCGAUCAAGAUUN
rnacentral:lncRNA from 1 species